rnacentral:rRNA from 1 species
GUGCCAGCAGCCGCGGUAAUACGGAGGGUGCAAGCGUUAUCCGGAUUUACUGGGUUUAAAGGGUGCGUAGGUGGGUAAGUAAGUCAGUGGUGAAAUCUUCGAGCUUAACUCGGAAACUGCCAUUGAUACUAUUUAUCUUGAAUACUUUGGAGGUAAGCGGAAUAUGUCAUGUAGCGGUGAAAUGCUUAGAUAUGACAUAGAACACCAAUUGCGAAGGCAGCUUACUACACAGUUAUUGACACUGAGGCACGAAAGCGUGGGGAUCAAACAGGAUUAGAAACCCCCGUAGUCC